rnacentral:rRNA from 1 species
UGGGGAAUUUUGGACAAUGGGGGCAACCCUGAUCCAGCAACGCCGCGUGAAGGAUGAAGGUCUUCGGAUUGUAAACUUCUUUUAUAGGGGACGAACCGGUUGGUGAAGAGCCGACCGCGACGGUACUCUGUGAAUAAGCCACGGCUAACUACGUGCCAGCAGCCGCGGUAAUACGUAGGUGGCAAGCGUUACUCGGAAUUACUAGGCGUAAAGCGCAGGUAGGCGGUCGGGUAAGUCUAUGAUGAAAGCUCCUGGCUUAACUGGGAGAGGUUCGUAGAUACUGCCUGACUCGAGUGUGGGAGAGGUGACUGGAAUUCCUGGUGUAGCGGUGAAAUGCGUAGAGAUCAGGAGGAACACCAAAGGCGAAGCAGGUCACUGGCCCAAUACUGACGCUGAGCUGCGAAAGCUAGGGGAGCAAACAGG